UUGAAUAGUAUUGAGGUAGGUGCCCUAAGGGGCUUAAUAGGGAAGUCCGGUUUAUGCCGGCGCGGUCCCGCCACUGUAAUAGGGAGCGAAUCCAAGAUAUGCCACUGGGACGAGAAGUCUUGGGAAGGUUUGGAUAAGCGAUGAUCUAGAGCCAGGAGAACUGCCUAUCUGUCAAUCACCGUU
rnacentral:ncRNA from 13 species